CGGAUAGAAGCUCUCUGGAUUGAGUGGCUAGCUGUUAAUUAGUUGAUUGCGGGAUCGAGGCCCGUCUAUCCAG
rnacentral:tRNA from 1 species